GUCCCGGUAGCCCAAUGAAUAGGGAGUUGGACUUCUAAUCCAAAGGUCGUGGGUUCGAAUCCCACCUUGGAUG